rnacentral:rRNA from 1 species
CCUACGGGAGGCUGCAGUGGGGAAUAUUGCACAAUGGGGGACACCCUGAUGCAGCGACGCCGCGUGAGUGAAGAAGUAAUUCGUUACGUCCAGCUCUAUCAGCAGUGAAGACACACUGACCUUACGGUCAGCAGCCGGUACCUUAGUAAGAAGCCCCGGCUAACUACGUGCCAGCAGCCGCGGUAAUAAGUAGGGGGCAAGCGUUAUCCGGAUUUACGGGGGGGAAAGGGAGCGUAGACGGCAGCGCAAGUCUGGAGUGAAAUGCCGGGGCCCAACCCCGGAACUGCUCUGGAAACUGUGAAGCUGGAGUGCAGGAGAGGUAAGCGGAAUGCCUGGUGUAGCGGUGAAAGGCGUAGAUAUCAGGAGGAACACCGGCGGCGAAGGCAGCUUACUGGACUGUAACUGACGUUGAGGCUCGAAGGCGUGGGGAGCAAACAGGAUUAGAGACCCUAGUAGUC